CAUCUACUCCCUCCGUUUGGAAAUACUUGUCAUCAAAAUGGAUGAAAAUGGAUGUAUCUAGAACUAAAAUACAUCUAGAUACAUUCAUCUCAAUGAUAAAUAUUUCCGGACGGAUGGAGUAUUUU
rfam:Triticum urartu cultivar G1812 contig745482, whole genome shotgun sequence.